rnacentral:rRNA from 1 species
GACGAACGCUGGCGGCGUGCCUAAUACAUGCAAGUAGAACGCUGAAGGAGGAGCUUGCUUCUCCGGAUGAGUUGCGAACGGGUGAGUAACGCGUAGGUAACCUGCCUGGUAGCGGGGGAUAACUAUUGGAAACGAUAGCUAAUACCGCAUAACAGUAGAUGUUGCAUGACAUUUGCUUAAAAGGUGCAAUUGCAUCACUACCAGAUGGACCUGCGUUGUAUUAGCUAGUUGGUGAGGUAACGGCUCACCAAGGCGACGAUACAUAGCCGACCUGAGAGGGUGAUCGGCCACACUGGGACUGAGACACGGCCCAGACUCCUACGGGAGGCAGCAGUAGGGAAUCUUCGGCAAUGGACGGAAGACUGACCGAGCAACGCCGCGUGAGUGAAGAAGGUUUUCGGAUCGUAAAGCUCUGUUGUAAGAGAAGAACGAGUGUGAGAGUGGAAAGUUCACACUGUGACGGUAUCUUACCAGAAAGGGACGGCUAACUACGUG